GAUGAAGAACGUAGCGAAAUGCGAUAAUUAAUGUGAAUUGCAGAAUUCCGUGAAUCAUCGAGUCUUUGAACGCACAUUGCGCCUCAUGGCGUUCCGUGAGGCAUGCCCAUCUCAGCGUUAGAAAAUAUUCUCAAAUUUUAGUUUUGUGCUAAAAUUUGGAUCAUGUCAAGGAAGCUAUUACUAUUAUUGUGAUCGCUCUUUGGAAAUUGAUAGGUCUUUGAGUUGCUACUCAUAGAACGUGAUGAAUCUUUCUUCGUUCUAUUGUAAUUCACUCUGGUAGUCCUAAAACUUGUAUGCCUGUGGCAUAUCUUGUAAUUUGACCUGAGAUUGGGUAGGGAUACCCGCUGAACUUAAGCAUAUCAAUAAGCGGAGGA
rnacentral:misc_RNA from 1 species